CUCUAGUCACAGGGCCGUGCCCCCACAUGGGAGGAAGAAACCAGUGGCUAUUCUGACAUUCGCCGGACCAAGCCAACGCGUAAACCAAGCAGAAUUUCGCCAGCCUCGAGAACGGACAUAUUCCCAAACGCAGUACAUCCAACAUCUAUGGAGCGUGACCUCAGUAGGGACUUGCAACGGCUUCGUUUAGGUUCCAAGAGGACUUCACCCAGAAGAAUAGCCAAGGAGUCAGCCUGAAAUGGAAAUACCACAACGUUGGUGUGCUCAAGCAAGCGGCACAUAUUGCAAAAGAUGCACUGGAUGCAUUGUAUUGUUUUGCAGCUUUACGAAGACAUCCACAAUUGCAACUAGGCUUUGUCGAAAAUUGCCAUGGCUUUUCUUAAUGAACAGCUGCAACGUCUU
rnacentral:lncRNA from 1 species